rnacentral:rRNA from 1 species
GAUGAACGCUAGCGGCAGUCUUAACACAUGCAAGUCGAGGGGUAUAGUUCUUCGUAGCUAGAGACCGGCGCACGGGUGCGUUACGCGUAUGCAAUCUACCUUUUGCAGAGGGAUAGCCCAGAGAAAUUUGGAUUAAUACCUCAAGGUAUGUGAGUAUGGCAUCAUUUUCACAUUUAAGUCACAUCUGCAAAAGAUGAGCAUGCGUCCCAUUAGCUAGUGGGUAAGGUAACGGCGUACCAAGGCAACGAUGGGUAGGGGUCCUGAGAGAGAGAUCUCCCACACCGGUUCUGAGACACGAACCAGACUCCUACGGGAGGCAGCAGUGAGGAAUAUUAGACAAUGGGCGCAAGCCUGAUACAGCCAUGCCGCGUGAAGGAUGACGGUCCUAUGGAUUGUAAACUGCUUUGGUACAGGAAGAAACACUGGUUCGUGAACCAGCUUGACGGUACUGUAAGAAUAAGGAUCGGCUAACUCCGUGCCAGCAGCCGCAGUAACAC